rfam:Pan troglodytes isolate Yerkes chimp pedigree #C0471 (Clint) chromosome X, whole genome shotgun sequence.
GCCGGGCAUAGUGGUGUAUGUCUGUAGUCCCAGCUACUUAGGGGGCUGAGGCUGGAGGAUCGCUUGAACCCGGGAGGUCGAGACUGUAGUGAGCCAUGUUUGCGCCACACUGCACUCUAGCCUGAGUGACAAAGUGAGAUGCUGUCUCAA